UGAUUUCGUGGUCGUGGACACGAGUACGAAGCUUAGAGGAGUGUGGAAUUAGUUCGAACGAUUUUAUUUCGAAAACUGAACGUUUUAGGGGGGGUCAAAGGAGUUGACUUUUUAUACAUUGGGAAUUUGGGAAAACUUCCUUCAUGAAAGUUGUAGAGCUCGUCGAUACGAUCUCGUGCAUAUGUGGAACGUAAAAAUCGGAGUUCGUAUGAGAAAGUUAUGAUCAAUUGAAAUUUGGGGAAAUUUCUAUAAAUAGCAAAAAAAUCCCGAACAUUUCCAUUUCUGCAGAUUUUUCUCUCCCGAGCCCAGAUUUCGGCCUCUCUCUUCCACCGGCCAUAUCUCCCUCCACAGACCUCCGAUCGACUUGAUUCCAAAAGCAUUUUCAUUCGCCUUGAAGUCAGUUAAAACUUCCUAGAAGACAUCAAAGUGAGAAAAGAACCAUGGAAGGCGCUAGGAGGCCGAGAAGCUGCACAGCUCGAGCUGGAAUUCGCCCGAUGCUGCUCUUCCUUCACCGGCCGAUAUCUCUCUCAUCCGACCUCGAAUCGAGUUGAUUCCAAAAGGGAUUUUGUUGGGCUUGAGCUAUAUUACAACUUUGUAGAAGACAUCGAGGGGAAUUAACCAACGUGGUAGCCGCUACAAGUCGAAGAACACGGUGCAGUCGAGCUGGAAAUCACCUCCUUUCCCCACCGUCGUUCUCCCAAUUCCGGCCACCAUAGCUCGAGUUCUUUGAGGGCUUUUCUAGCCCAGAGGCUGUAGAUGCUUCCCUCCAAGCGGCUUGCAACGAUUUCACCCGUGGAGCUCGAAUUUUGAAGAUUGGGAAACUAGGGUUCUUCGGGUUUCACAACUUGCGAGGUGAUUGACGGUCUCCCUUGGGUGAGCGGUUUCGGUGUGUAUUGUGUUGAAUUGAAGACGCAGCGGGAUUAUCGAGCGGGUAAUCCUACAGGACAGGAGAACCAGGACGGUGAUCGUGCGGUUAAAGCAAUUGUUAGAGUUUUACAGCAAUUGUAAGUUGUGAGGUGUGUUAUGCUCAUUUAGAGCUUUACAAUAUUGCUUGUGAGAGUGAAUUGUAAUAAUGAACUCGAGGUUUCGAGAUUUGGAGUUUGUGUACCGUGUGGUGAGGUUAUAUUGAGAAAAAAAUUCAGAACGUUUAUUUGAUUAAGUGGUUUAAUUCAUGUUUCGGAUUUGAAUUUAUCAUUCAAAAUUCGGGGCGUGACAAUUGUUCUAAGGUAAACACACAGUAACAUAUUGAAAAUAAAAGGACAAAGUCGCAGAAAAAGGGAGUGAAGAGAUACGGUGGAUGUUGCUUGAAGAUGGAUGUUCACGGUGGUGGUAGACGGCGACUUUGGCGGCUUCUUUUCCUUAUGCUUGUAUGGAGCUUCGAAAAUCAGAGAGCUAGGGCUGUUUUGAGGCGUGAAAUCUGUAUGAUAUGGUCCCCCCCUGACGCCAAGAAGCCUCCUCUUUUUAUUGUUUACAAGCCCCUAACUUUUCUCCUCCAAACCGGGUUGAGUUCUCCUUAUUCUUCUCCAAUUCCACUUGCUUAGUUGCCACACAAUCUUCUGAACCUUCCUUAAGUCUUUCUAACCAUCUCUUGAUAAGUAUAAUGCAGCAAAAAUCCAAUAAAAUUCGUCCCAAAAUCUGCCAAAAAUAUCUUCAGAAAAUAUAGCCUUUAAUUCACUUUCCUUUCUCAACUAGGAUUGAUUUUCCUCUCCAUGUUUGACGAGGGUUCCUGGCAGAUUCGAAGGUAA